rnacentral:rRNA from 1 species
UGGCGGACGGGUGAGUAACGCGUGGGUAACCUGCCUUACACAGGGGGAUAACACCUGGAAACAGGUGCUAAUACCGCAUAAGCGCACAGGGCUGCAUGGCCCGGUGUGAAAAACUCCGGUGGUGUAAGAUGGACCCGCGUCUGAUUAGCUUGUUGGCGGGGUAGGGGCCCACCAAGGCGACGAUCAGUAGCCGGCCUGAGAGGGUGGACGGCCACAUUGGGACUGAGACACGGCCCAAACUCCUACGGGAGGCAGCAG